rnacentral:misc_RNA from 1 species
GUUAUUUGGUCAUGUGACAUGUCAAGACUGACGCAUCAUACUAGUUCGUUGUGCAAGCUGAAUUCGUUCAUUUUCCACACUGUGCCCCGAUGAGACGAACGACACUGUUAUCGCUUAUGGUCAAAGGUCCCUUUGUCUCAAAGAAAAUCUUGGCAGUUGGCAGUGUAUACCACGACCAGCCAUAGAAGCCUUGCCACGCUGAUCAGCUGUUGUUUACAGUUGGGGUAACUACCGACGCUGAACGCUGAGCGAACCGUGUUGAGUAUUCCGUAAAGCCAUCUGCGCAAUCCUUUCACGGGUAAAGAUUCUGCAAUAUGGUGGCGGGAAAGACGUGUGAUGGUCAGGGUCUGACGUCACAAACGGUGACCGUUGCCACUGACAACGGCAGAUUGGCUCCAGAUACAGACGUCAGUAAUCAAAGGUCAUCGCGGGUUGAAAUGCCAGACAUCGACAGAAGUGACGAUUGUUCCGAUGCUUGUAACAAAUCACAGGACGACAACCAGCAUAGCAAUAUGGCGGCGUCUUCGAAUGGUCCUGCACACACCCCAGACCACAAGAAGCAAGACAACGUGCAUGCAGACCCCUUCAGCAACACCGAUUACACCGACUCAGUCGGUAGUGCAGAUAGUACAAAGUUCUUGCUGCCUCUGAAAGACAAUGACUCCAUCGUUCACGACUGCGCUCAGUCAAGCCUCGAUAUUUCUGUCUCCCCCAAAAUCUCCAUCAACGAUGUUGUGAUAGACUGCUACGAAAACAGGAAUUACACAGACUCCGUAACGUCUCACUUCUCCGCAAGCCAACCUCUCCUCAACACAACGGACAACAUCCGUAACUUCGUCAAAGAAGUAGAGACCCCCGUCCUUGGUCUUAUCGACCACCCAGGGUUUAUGUCCUCACAGAGAGAUCUCUCAAGCACGAGCAACAUCACCUUCGCCUGCCAGAAAGCCUUGAAGUACCUUCAGGACGAACGGGUGGCUAGCUCUCUUCUUCUACCCGGAAGCGCCAAGGACGUGUCGAAGCUGCCUCCAGAAGACGGGAAUGGUCCUUAUGAUGUUGACCACAACAUCGUUCCAAGCGGGCGCCACACACGCAACCUAAUAGCCCUCAGUGUUAGCAUAACCAUGGCUUUCAUCGCCAGCGGAACUCUCCGCAACCUCCAGACAAGUCUGAACCACGAAGGGGGCGUUGGCGUAAUAUCUCUGGCAAUGACCUUCAUGGGGUUCAUGAUUGGAAGCGUAUUCAGUCCGUUCCUUGUCCAGAACUUUCACCCCUACCGCGCCCUCCUUGUAUCCAUGCUUCCCUACCUUCUGUACAUAGCUGCUAACUUCUACCCCGCAAUGUGGCUUAUGACCCCAGUCUCCUUACUAUGGGGGGUCAGCUUUGCGUUGAUGUGGAACGCUAUGAGUACCUACAUCACCUUCCUAGCCAAGGGCUACUCCGAAAAGAAGAAACAAGAUUACGAAAUUGUCCUCAGUCGAUUUUUCGGCAUCUUCUAUCUUGUAUGGCAACUGUACAUGAUCUUUGGCAACCUCAUUGCCUCCCUUGUCCUCACAUACGCCAACCCUACUGGCGCUACCGCUUCCAGUGUGACGUCCAACUAUUCUGUCAUUAAUCAGACACUAACCAACCAAUCCACGUAUUCCUUCCCCAAUGAGUCUGUGAUACUAAACUCCUCAUCACCGCCAUCCCAUUUGCUGUGCGGAGCGAAUUACUGCCAUCAUUACACCAUCAGCAGUACAGGGUCAACUGACAAUUCAUUUGCCAAGUAUGUACUUUAUGGCGUGAACUCGGGAGUCAUGCUGUUGGCGGUUCUUAUCGCCUUCUUCCUUUUGGAACCCCUUAACAGUCGGCUUUUUAGUGCCACCAUUUCAUGCAACGUGGUCAAGACGCAGAUUGUCUCCCUUGGCAGGUUCGCCUUAAACCGGAAGUUCCUGUUGCUAUGCCCCCUUCUCCUAUUCAGCCAGAUGCAGGCGGCUUUCGCCAGCGGUGAAAUUGCAAAGGCAUUUGUGACGUGCCCAAUUGGAGUUCACAUGGUUGGGUACACCCUCAUCUGUAUGGGUGUAUCGGGCAGCCUCAGUGCUUACUUAAGCGGGUGGCUGUGUAGAUACGUAGGCCGGACUGUCAUGAUCGGAUCAGUCUCUUGAAUUUAGGUUUGGUAUAUCACCACAAGACACCAUUGUAAGAAUCCUUUCUUCAUGCUGAGUGCGACUAUCAAAUUAAGUCUUCCACCCAUCAUGUCUCUCGUUAACCGAAAAGUCCCCCGUCAGUGACGUCAAAGGGGGAACAUUUUCCGAUUGCGGUCGCUGUUGAUCUUGGCCUGUUGACCCUGAUGGCAAUAUGGACACCCACCCCCGAUUCGCUGGUUGUUAUCUUUGUUCUGAUUGGUCUAUGGGGAGUGAGCGACGGGAUCUGGAUGGCCCAAAGCAACAGU